UAACAGUUCCGUGAAGUUGGGCCCACUACCAACGGUAGUACAUCGAUUUCUCAUAAAAUACACGACUUGAACUUUCUUCAACUGGUUCUUCACAACCGUGUUCAUCAAAUCUUCAAAUUAAUAAAAAAAAUUGCAUCAAGAAGCUUGAAAUUGAUUGAGGGAUUUGAUUAAGGUUUUAUUGUCGAGCAAUUUGUUGGGCGAAAGAAGCAGAAUCAAGGUACAAUAAGCCUAGAUUUAUAUAAGACAAUGACUUAUAUAAGACAGAUGGAGAAGUUGAAACAGAUCACACAUCAAUUUAGACAACAAAUGACACAACAUAUGCAGCAAAUCAGACAGUACAUACAGCAGAUUAGACAACAAACGAGAAGAUUAGACGGUAUAUCAACAAAUCAGACAACAAACUUGUAUGAUAAGCAGAUCAAAUGCAGAUCAACAGACUUCACGAAACUGUUAACGAGUCAGGUGGUGAAUUUUUUUUUUUUUAGGUGGUAAUUUAAAACUUUGAGAUUUUAAGGUGGUAAAACACAAAUUUGAUUCUUUUUAGGUAGUAAAUGACAAAAAAUCCUAUUAUUUAAAAAAAAAAAUAGAAAGGGUUGGUUAUUUUCAAUAAAGAGUGUAAUAUUCAAGGCUAUUAUUGUUAUUACGGAUAUUUCAUGAAAUACCCCCAGUUUUUCCUUAAUUCACCAAAUGCCCAUCAAGUUUCAAUAAUUCACCAAAUACCCCUCACAAAUGACUUAAUACCCCAAAUGCCCCUUGAUGACGUCAUCAACUCUUAACUAACUCAAUUAACCCAUUAACCCACUUUUUAAACCAUUAACCUACCCAUGCCUAUUUCCCAUCAACCCAUUUUUUUCCUUUUUCCUUUUUUGUCUUUCCUCUCUCCCCCUUCUUUCUUUCUUCCCUGAAUUUUCUUCCAAAUGCUUUCCCUUUCCUCCUCAACCACCGCCACACCCUUGCCAUUGCAGAAAUCAAAGCCCCUAAAACAUUCCCAGAAAUUCGUUCAACUAGUUCGAUACAUCGCAAGUUCUUCAAUUCAAAGGGAAAAUCAAAUUGAAGUUUCAACAACCCUUAAAAUCAGGCCUUAAUUGCCAUUGUAGAAAUCAAAUUAAAGUUUCCCGUCAUUAAUGGUACAAUUUUUUGUAGUGUAAAUAUUAUUUUAACCAAUUAAAUUCAUUUGGGCAUUCUCUUGCGCUUUUCCAUUAUUGAGGCAUUAAUUCUUUUCCAUUUUUCCAAUGUCAGAUUUUUGAUAAAAUAUAAUAAACAAACGUAAUUUGCCUUGUCUAAAUAAGAAAAAUUGAGCAAUCUCACUGCACAUUAAUUAGUCGUUAAAUCGCGUAAUAACAUCAAACGUAAAGAACAAAAAGGUUCAAAAGGAGUAGGAAAAAUAACAUGGAUACUAAUCACUAUCAGAAUCCGUUCCCGGACCAUACAUGCAAUGAGUACAGUUUACAUCUUGAGGAUGCAAAACCCUCUGGAAAAGAUGAACAGGAGUCACAACUGCAAGGAUAAACAAAUUAAAUGAUAAAAAAAAUGAGCCAUAUUGACAAUUGACCACGUUUGCAAAAUAGGUAAAAUACUACUCCGUACCUGAAGGAGAACCACUAAACCGAGGUGGCAAGAUACAGCAGUUGAGGAUUUUCCCUUGACCAGGAUUCAAUGCCACCACCUCGGCAUAGAAAAGCUCCACAGGGGAAUCAGCAUCCUUGGAUUUGGCAAAAAAGUUAGCAUGGAAAACAUAGGAGUGCCCUGAAUGAGGCAGCAGCACAAUAUUGCUAAGCAUAGGAGCAAUAAGCUCAUAUUCAUCACCCUAAAUUAAGAAAACCAAACGGACGGUUUAGAUGUAGAAUUGGGAGAGGGAAGGAGUAACGCAUCAAAGGUAAAACGCGCAUAAACGAAAACCCUAAAAAACAAUGAAAAAGCCACAAUUUUAACCUAAAAACUGCGAUCAACCAACAGACAAGCAAUCGCUAACUGCUGUACCCGGGUACAGCCAGCUCUGGCUGUACCCCCCAAAAACGACACGCUCAUAUUGUUUGUUCAUUCUUGUUGACUGUUUGUUCUUUUUUAUUGUACUGUUUGUUCAUUCUUAUUGUACUGUUUGUUCUUUCUUGUUGUACUGUUUGUUCUUUCAUGUUGUUUUUUAAAUUCAUCAUCAAAUUUUCAUAAUUAUCGUAUUUUUUGUUCUUUCUUCUGGAAUUUUAUGUUCUUUGGCUGUACCCGGGUAUAGCCAAAAAUUUGCGACAGACAAGUCGAUCAAGGAGCGUUAAAUUGAAACCUUACUGAGCAAAAACAAAAGAAAAGCCCAAAAAAUAAUCUAGAAACUGCAAACUGCUAUAGUGCUAUCGACUACCAUUAACAAAUAACCAAACAAAAAAUAAAUUUUAGGGUAAACAAAUCUAAAUCGAGGGGUUUGAAUUAUUUAUUUAAUUAAAUUAAAUGAUGAGAGAGAGAGCACAAACGUUUUACUGUGAUCCGUGAUUUCAUCGUUGCAGAAGACGUGUUUGAAGAAACGCUUCGUAUCAUUCACAUCGAUGCUCUUCAUCGUGCUAGCUUUUUCUUUAUUUCUCUCUGAACAGGUUGCUUUACUUUAUUACUAGUCUUAUAUGCAUGUGAUGCGUGCGAAAUUAUAUAAAAACUUAAAGUUGUGUUAUUAUAACGUACUAAUCACAACAAAUAUUAGACACUAAAAAAUCAUUCGGUAAGUUCAUAUUUUAAAACAAUAAGGGGAUAUAAAUCAUACAAUACAUCAAUCUUGCAAUAUAAAUAGUGUAACAAUGUAAUACUCAUGCCCUUACAUGAAAAAGAAUCAAAAUCUUAGUACCAAAGUAAAGUAAUUAAACGUAUAAAAUAGUUUGUUUCACUUUUUUAAUCUUGCUCGCAAUGUACUUGUCUAACCAUAUGCACUCCUCCGCCUAAUCGAUGUGCAACACAUAAUUAACAUUAUAAGAAUUUUCUGGAUUAAGAACGUGUACAAAAUCAUUCCAAAUUGUUAAUUUAAUAACAGCUCGUCUGCAAGUAGAAAGGAAAACACUAUUAAGACACAUUUUAAUGGAAGAAAUAUAAAUUCGAUAAGUAAAUAACAAUUUACUAAUAAUUUAGAGAAGGAAAUAAUAUUAUAAGGGAGAAAAAAGAAUAUAAAAUAUCUGAUGAGAAAAUAACAUUAUAGGUGACUUUCCAUAAAGUUCACUUACUUUCCUAAUUUUAUGAUUCUCAAUCAAAAUAACAUUAUUCUUUUAUUUACUUUUGUUGUUAUGGGCCAUAAGGAAGCUUUUAGGCGUUUAUUUCUCAGGGUUUUUGAUUUUUUAGUGCAAUCCACUAAAUAAUCAGCUUUUCAAUUGAAUUAAAUUGUGAAAGUGUCGGUAAUUUAGUCUAUCCAUAGGGGACAUCAAAAGUACAAUUACUAAAUUUACACCACGUGUUCCCUUAUACAAUAGAGAUUACUCCAUAGUUCACUACGAUUCAACAAAUCAUCAACAAUUAGUCACGUAACAUUCGAACUCGUUCACAAUUUUUUGUUAAAUCGAGUACAAUCACACUCAGAUCAUGAAAUUGUGUUAAACUUGAUUAGUUCACGACCCAGUUAGUACCUAGAACUCCUUUUAACACUCCCCCCAUCAACCCCUCACGAAGUCUAACUUCACAAUCACCUAACUCGAGGGUACCUUAAUUUCUAGAGAAGCUUAAACAAAAUACCAAAACAAUAAACAAAGACUACACAAUAUAUGAAGUAUCAAAGUAAAAAGUACUCUAAAGAAAAAGAACAAAAAAAAAACCCCCUUUGAUUUCAACAUUUGUGUCCCUUCCCUUCACGUGAUCGUCCCCUUCCUGUCUCCUCAUUCACCCUUUCUCUCUCUAGAAAAAAACAACUCCUAUAAAUUCUGUAAGUGUCACACACCCAGACACACGCUCUCUCUCUCUCCUCCACUUAGAUCAGAUCUUCAAUAUUCAUGACCACAUUCUAAAACUACCAUGUCUUUCUCACUCCUCUUCUUUGUGAUAGCUUUUUCACUUCACUUAUUAUUAUCACCUGCAUCCGGGCACCACAUCUGCUCCACCGCACAAAUGCCGUCUCUCAAGUCGUUCAUAAUAAUGUAGAAGCUCACGAAGAAGAUGAGGGAGAAUCGCUCCAUCCCACACCGGAUGCGUGUGCGUAGCGACAACACUAUCAGGUACAAUGCGAAGCGCAUGCAUUGGUGUCGUACCAAACUCAGGUUCUGAGGGAAAUUUCUGAAGAAGAAGGAAGAAUAUGGUGGUGGGAAGAACUUAUUAAUGGAGGUAGUACAAUUAGAGAUAAAUAUGGAGAAGAAGAAGAUUAGGGAAGCUAGCUAGAGAUCAUUGCUUUGCAAAUCAUUCCACGCCGAGAACUCGAAGCCGGUGUUAAAAUAGAGAUGACGGAGGAACAAAUCAUGGGUAUGAGGCGUUUUUAUAGGGAUUCUAAUUAUGUUGAUCCUUAGAAGUACAAUUUUCAAUAUUUUUGUAUUUUCAGAAAGUUGAGCAAGUAAGAUUUGGGCUUAACACUUGAACAAUAAUAUAACGACAUGUCAACUAGCUACCUUGACCCAGUUGACAGUACCUUUAUGUAAAUGUCGGUAUAACAUUACUCCGUAUAAGUUAUCUGAUAUUUGGAUGUCA